AACAAUCAGAACUGAGGGAAAUAGUAAUUCUAUUGAUACUAAAACAAAAGAGAGUUAAUGGAUCAAUACAAUACUGCAAACAAAUUUUAAAAAAGGAACAAGGAAGUGUGACGUACUGAAGAAAAUUUUGACAAACGGCACCCGGUCAAUCAGCACCCAGUCUUUUUUUGCAUACGCCGACAGUUGGCACCCUGCCCAGCAAACACAUGACGUCGGGUAGACGUCAAUUUACCGUCGGAUUCUCGUCGCGACGAUUGCGACCCAAAACCCGACGUCCUACCCUGACGUUGAUUUGCUGUCAAAAGUUGGCGGAGUGCUAUGAGUGCUGGAGUGCUAAAUUACAAUAACAACAACAACUGUACCUUGACAUAAGUGCCCUUCUCAGCUUUGUCCCCUAGCUCCAACAAGGGGCUGCUCCUGCCCGG